CUUGGCCUCCCAAAGUGCUAGGAUUACAGGCAUGAGCCCCUGCGCCUGGCCUGCUAUGUGUAUAUUAAUGUGUGGUCUUGAUCUUGAACUGAGGCUCUGAAAGGGUAUGACAAAUACUGACGGCCAUCUGCCAACUACAGAGCUGUGAACUGUUCACUCAUUAACAGUUUAUAAACAACAAGAUAACAUCCUCCAACUUAUCUUCCUGCUCUAGCAGAGGUGGGCAGUGAGGAUAACUGUUCAGGUCCCCUCUUUGGAGGUCUGGUGUCAUGAGCAUGAGCCCUCCUGCAGGGCACUCCAGGACAGCUCUCCCUGUGCCCACGGACAGACCACCUCAGGGGCUGCCAUCUAAGCUUCAGAUGGUGCGGAGCUCUGAGUGUGUGUGUGAGUUUAAGUAUGUGUGAGUAUGUAUGAGUGUGUGUAUGAGUUUCUGAGUAUGUGUAUGUGUGAAAGAGAGAAAGAAAGCAGCAGCAACUGAGAAAGAGAGAGAGAGAGUGACUCUCUAGUCAUCAGCUGUGAUGGUGAAAUUUAUGUGUCAAGUUGACUGGAUUGAAAGAUGCCCAGAAAACUGGUAAACUUUAUUUCUGGGUUGUGAACGUGUCUCUGGAAGAGAUGGGCACUGGAAUCAGUGGACUGAGUAAGGAAGAUCCACUCUCACCUGUCAUUCAUAAGAGCAGGCAUCAUCCAGUCCCUGGAGGAAUCCAGUAGAUCAAAAAGGUGGAGAAAAGGCAAAUUUACUCUCUCUUCUUCACCUGGGACACCCAUCUUUUUCCCUCAGAUAUUGGCACUUCUGGGUUCUGGGCCUUCGGGUUUGGAUUUGAACUACACCACUCACUUUCCUGAGCCCCCAGCUUGCAGGUUGCAUACUAUUGGGCUUCUCAGCCUCCAUAAUCAUGUGAGCCUAUUCUUCAAAGUAACUCUCUUCCUUUCUAUCUGUCUAUCUAUCUACUUACCUACCUAUCAAUCUAUGUAUCUAUCUAUCUACUUACUGACCUACAUAUCAAUCUAAUGAUCUAUCAAUCUAUUAAUCUAUCUUUAUCUAUCAAUCUAUCAUCUAUCUACUUCCUACCCAUCAAUCUAUUAAUCUAUGUAUCUACUUAUCUACCUACUUAUCAAUCUAUUGAUCUAUCAAUCUAUUAAUCUAUCUCUGUCUGUCUAUUGAUCGAUCUAUCUACCUACCUAUCUACAUCCUAUUGGUUCUGUUUCUCUGGAGAACUCUGACUGAGACAUCAUCAAUGUCUAGUUGAUUUUGUCUAAUAAACAGCUUCCCUUCAGUUUUGGCUCCACUCUGUCUUCAAUUUCUGGCCCAAGUUUCCCUAGGCCCCAACAUAAAAGAAUAUUAUUGACCCAAUUGACCCACUGUGAUAAUUUGUUUAAUAUAUUCAACAAUUUGUUGAAAUAAUAAAAGUAAUAACACUCACUGAUCUACUGAUUUGAACUGCUAACCUUACCAGACAUGUGCCAUGGCUUGUCUAUCCUCCUAGAUGUUGUGUAAAAGCAUUUGAGAAAAUAAUGUAUAAAAAUCACACAGGAAAUGUCAUCAGCUAUUUAUUACUAAACUUUGUUCAGGUUAGAUGUUUAUCGUAGUUCACAAUGCUGAUUUGAACAAAAAGGCAUCCAAGCCAAUAGAAUGAAAUUUAAUUUGUUAAAGUAAGAUGCUUUAUUCUUAAGUAUUUAUAUUUAAUAUGCCCCAUGGAAUUUUGAACUUAAAUUUGGUGAUGGUAAAACAUAAGUCACUUUAGAUGUCAACAUUUUCUGGAAGAAGAGUGCCAAGCAUGAUUGCCCAUGUCACUUGGUGUUAGGUGACAUUUUUGUUCCAGCAGGUGGUGCCAUCAGAGCAUGAAGGAAACUCCAUUUUAAAAGGAACUUAGGCAGUGGGGACUCUUAGAGUCAUCGGAGGCAAGAGAAAAUGUCCCAGAGCUUCUGUGGGUCUGAAGGUUCAUGUUUUAAAUGUUCCUAUUGUAGAUUUUAAGAAAGUAUGUAAUUCAAAAUUUUUUAACUUGUAUUUUAAGUUAG
rnacentral:lncRNA from 1 species